AGAGGUAGUGACAAGAAAUAACAAUGUGGAGCAAUCUUUGCUCUGCAUUUGGGAUGAGUCGUAGUUAAAUCUCACGCAGAUUAUCGAUUGGAGGGCAAGUCUGGUGCCAGCAGCCGCGGUAAUUCCAGCUCCAAUAGCGUAUAUUAAAGUUGUUGCAGUUAAAAAGCUCGUAGUUGGAUUUGUGGUGUGUCCAGUCGGCCUUUGCUCUCUGAGUGAUUGUGCUGUACUGGUCUGCCAUGUUUGGGUGGAAUCUGUGUGGCAUUAAGUUGUCGUGCAGGGGAUGCCCAUCGUUUACUGUGAAAAAAUUAGAGUGUUCAAAGCAGGCUUAUGCCGUUGAAUAUAUUAGCAUGGAAUAAUAAUAUAGGACCUUGGUACUAUUUUGUUGGUUUGCGCACUAAGGUAAUGAUUAAGAGGGACAGUUGGGGGUAUUUGUAUUCCAUUGUCAGAGGUGAAAUUCUUAGAUUUUUGGAAGACAAACUACUGCGAAAGCAUUUACCAAGGAUGUUUUCAUUAAUCAAGAACGAAAGUUAGGGGAUCGAAGAUGAUUAGAUACCAUCGUAGUCUUAACCAUAAACUAUGCCGACAAAGGAUUGGCGGAGUUUCGUUUCGUCUCCGUCAGCACCUUGUGAGAAAUCAUAAGUUUUUGGGUUCCAGGGGGGAGUAUGGUCGCAAGGCUGAAA
rnacentral:rRNA from 1 species